rnacentral:rRNA from 1 species
AUGGUGUCACUUGCUAUGGUCAUAUUUGUUUUAUUUCAUUGGAGAGGAAAGCACAAGAGGAAUUUUGUAUCACUACCGUCAUUUGCUACAAAAUUUCCCAAAGUUUCUUUCAACGACCUAGCCAAAGCAACACAUGGAUUCUCAACGUCCAACCUAAUUGGCAGAGGGGGAUAUAGUUCUGUAUACAAAGGAAAACUAGUGGAAGAUGAAAAUGAGGUCGCCAUAAAAGUCUUCAACCUAGAGACAAGAGGAGCGCAAAAGAGCUUCAUUGCAGAAUGUAAUGCAUUGAGAAAUGUGCGGCACCGUAAUCUGGUCCAUAUCAUAACUGCCUGCUCAGGCAUAGAUUCUAAUGGUAAUGAUUUCAAGGCCCUGGUGUACGAGCUGAUGCCAGGAGGAGACUUACAUAAACUGCUAUACUCGAACCAGGACCGUGAAGGCUCUUUUGAUUUGUACUGCAUUACAAUGGCUCAACGCAUAAGCAUUUUGGUGGAUGUAGCAGAUGCACUGGAGUAUUUACACCACAACAACGAAGGCACAAUGGUUUAUUGUGAUCUAAAGCCUAGCAACAUUCUUUUGGAUGACAAUAUGAUUGCUCAUGUUGGAGACUUUGGCCUGGCAAGAUUCAAAGUUGGUUCGACUUCAUCAUCUCAGUGUAACUCAAGUUCUUCUUCGGUUGCAGUAAUGGGAACAAUUGGAUACACUGCUCCAGAAUAUGCAGGGGGUGGUCAAGUUUCAACCGCCGCGGAUGUUUACAGCUUUGGUGUCGUUCUCCUCAAGAUCUUCAUUCGAAGAAGGCCAACUGAUGACAUGUUUAAGGAUGGACUGAACAUUGUGAAGUUUACAGAGAAUUAG